rnacentral:rRNA from 3 species
UCCGUAGGUGAACCUGCGGAAGGAUCAUUAAU